rnacentral:rRNA from 1 species
UGUAGGUAACGUCAAGGUCGCGGGAUAUUAACCCGCAACUGUUUCCUCCCUACUGAAAGUGCUUUACAACCCGCAGGCCUUCUUCACACACGCGGCAUUGCUGCAUCAGGCUUUCGCCCAUUGUGCAAUAUUC